rnacentral:tRNA from 1 species
UGAGGAGUAGCUCAGUGGUAGAACACUUGCCUAGUAUGUGUAAGACACUGGGUUCAAUCCCCAGCACCUCAA